rnacentral:tRNA from 1 species
GCGGAGGGCAGGCAAGCCGUCGGGGCUCACAAUCCCGAACGUCGGUUCGAGUCCGGCCUCCGCACCA